AACGAACGCUGGCGGCAGGCUUAACACAUGCAAGUCGAACGGGCGCAGCAAUGCGUCAGUGGCAGACGGGUGAGUAACACGUGGGAACCUUCCUUAAGGUACGGGACAACUCAGGGAAACUUGAGCUAAUACCGUAUACGUCCGAGAGGAGAAAGAUUUAUCGCCUUUAGACGGGCCCGCGUCGGAUUAGCUAGUUGGUGGGGUAACGGCCUACCAAGGCGACGAUCCGUAGCUGAUCUGAGAGGAUGAUCAGCCACACUGGGACUGAGACACGGCCCAGACUCCUACGGGAGGCAGCAGUGGGGAAUCUUGGACAAUGGGGGAAACCCUGAUCCAGCCAUGCCGCGUGAGUGAAGAAGGCCUUAGGGUUGUAAAGCUCUUUUGCCAGGGACGAUAAUGACGGUACCUGGAGAAUAAGCCCCGGCAAACUUCGUGCCAGCCGCCGCCGU
rnacentral:rRNA from 1 species